GGCACGACCAGCAAAGGCCAGUGCAGUCCAGGCCAGGCCAAACAAGGACAGGCUCGGACAGGCGAGGCUCGGCAAGGCUGAGCCAGGCCAAGGCAGGGAGUCCAGGAGAAGUGAUGCAAGGAAAGGCAAGGCCAGGCAAGGUCAGGCCAGGCCACACAAGGCAAGGCCAGGACAGGCCGGGGCAAGCCAGGCACGGCCAGGUUGCUCUAGUAAAGGCAUGGGGAGGAAAGGCCAGGCAAGGUACGGUGAAGUCAGGCAAGGUCAGGUGUGGCUAGGUGAUGCCAGACCAGGCCGGGCGAGGCCAGGCAAGGCAAGGCAAGGACAGGCUAGACCAGGCCAAGCCUGGCCAAGCUAGGCGAGAAGAGGUCUGGCAAGCCCAUGCGAGACUAGGCAAGACCAAGUGAGGUGUGGCAAGGCCAGGCCAGGCCAGGAAAGGCAAGGCAAUGCCAGGCCAGGCCAGGUCACGCCAAGCCAGGCCACAGCAGGGAAGGCCAGGCGAGGCCAGAAAAGGCCAUGCCAGGGCAGGGCAGGCAAGGCAAGGCAAGGCCAGCCCAGGCAAGGCCAGGCAAAGCUGGGAAGGGCCAGGCCAGGCAAGGAAAAGCAAGACCAGGCCAGGCCAGGCAAGGACAGGCCAUAACAGGCCAGGCAAGGCAAGGCACAACCAGGCCAUGUCAGUGCUGUCCAGGCCAGGCAAGGCAAGGAUAGGUCAGGCCUGGCCAGGCCAGGAAAGGCGAGGCCAGGCCAGGCCAGGAAAGGCAAGGCAAUGCCAGGCCAGGCCAGGUCACGCCAAGCCAGGCCACAGCAGGGAAGGCCAUGCGAGGCCAGAAAAGGCCAGGCCAGGGCAGGGCAGGCAAGGCCAUGCAAGGAAAGGCAAGGCCCGGCCAUGAAGGGCAAUGACAGGACAGGCAAGGCCAGGCGACGCCAGGCCAGGCCAGGCCGGGCCAGACAAAGCAAGGCCAGGGAAGGCCAGUACAGGCCAGGCAAUGCAAGGCAAGGCAAGGCAAGGCAAGGCAAGGCACAGCCAGGCCAGGUCAGUGCAGUCCAGGCCAGGCACGGCAAGGAUAGGCCAAGCGAGGCCAGGCCAGGGCAGGCAAGAAAAGGCUAGGCAAGACCAGGACAAACAAGGCAAAACCAGGCCAGGCAAGGAAAUGACAGGAAAGGCCAGUAGAGGCCAGGCAAUGCAACGUACGGCAAGGCAUGGCCAGGCUAGUUCAGUGCAGUUUGGGCCAGGCAUGGCAAGGAUAGGCCAGGCAAGGCCAGGCUAGGCCAAGCCAGGCCUGGCCAGGCAAGGCGAGGCCAGACAAUGCAAGGCCAGACAAGGCCAGGCCUGUCAAGGCCAAGCAAGGAAAGGCCAGGAAAGGCGUGGCAAGAAAAGGCCAGGCAGAGCAAUGCCAGGCAAUGCAAUGCCAGGCAAGGCCAUGCCAGCGCAGACCAGAUGAGGACAGGCAAGGCUAGACAAAGCAAGGGCAGGAAUGGCAAGGCCAGGCCAGGCCAGGCAAG
rnacentral:lncRNA from 1 species